rnacentral:rRNA from 1 species
GAAGACAACCCUCCAUGUACAAACUGACGUUGAAGGACGAAGGCACAGAGAACAAACAGGAUUAGAAACCC